rnacentral:rRNA from 1 species
UACGUAGGGUGCAAGCGUUAAUCGGAAUUACUGGGCGUAAAGCGUGCGCAGGCGGUUCUUUAAGACAGAUGUGAAAUCCCCGGGCUCAACCUGGGAACUGCAUUUGUGACUGUAGAGCUGGAGUACGGCAGAGGGGGAUGGAAUUCCGCGUGUAGCAGUGAAAUGCGUAGAUAUGCGGAGGAACACCGAUGGCGAAGGCAAUCCCCUGGGCCUGUACGGACGCUCAUGCACGAAAGCGUGGGGAGCAAACAGG